AUUGAACGCUGGCGGCAUGCUUUACACAUGCAAGUCGAACGGCAGCGCGGGCUUCGGCCUGGCGGCGAAUGGCGAACGGGUGAGUAAUACAUCGGAACGUGCCCAGUAGUGGGGGAUAGCUCGGCGAAAACCGGAUUAAUACCGCAUACGACCUGAGGGUGAAAGCGGGGGAUCUUCGGACCUCGCGCUAUUGGAGCGGCCGAUGGCAGAUUAGCUAGUUGGUGGGGUAAAGGCCUACCAAGGCGACGAUCUGUAGCUGGUCUGAGAGGACGACCAGCCACACUGGGACUGAGACACGGCCCAGACUCCUACGGGAGGCAGCAGUGGGGAAUUUUGGACAAUGGGCGAAAGCCUGAUCCAGCAAUGCCGCGUGUGUGAUGAAGGCCUUCGGGUUGUAAAGCACUUUUGGCGGGAACGAAAAGGACUGUGCCAAUACCACGGUUCGAUGACGGUACCCGCAGAAUAAGCACCGGCUAACUACGUG
rnacentral:rRNA from 1 species